rnacentral:rRNA from 1 species
UGAGGCCUACGGGACGCAGCAGUAGGGAAUUUUCGUCAAUGGGCGCAAGCCUGAACGAGCAAUGCCGCGUGAACGAGGAAGGUCUUCGGAUCGUAAAGUUCUGUUGAAGGGGAAAAAGAGCGGAGAGAGGAGAUGAACUCCGAUUGAUAUUACCCUUCGAGGAAGUCACGGCUAACUACGUGCCAGCAGCCGCGGUAAUACGUAGGUGGCGAGCGUUAUCCGGAAUGAUUGGGCGUAAAGGGUGCGUAGGCGGCCUGCUAAGUCUGGAGUGAAAGGUACCGGCUCAACCGGUACAGGCUCUGGAA